CAAUGAAGCCCCUGAGUCAGGUGAGCCGCACCUCUAUUGUAUAAUGUGUGUAGAUGUGAUGCUGUAGCCGGGAGUGAUCGCAGAGUCCGGCCAGCACAGACAUCACACUGACAGAUCUGCUGCUGAGGGUGGAGAAGUGACAGUCCUUAGGAUAUGAAUCAAUAAUAAUAGAACAGGAUCUCCCAAAGGAACAGAGGUUUUUAUCCACAGUGCGGCCCCGGCACAUAGAACCGCGUGUGAAAGACACGGAGCUGGAGCUGCAGGCCAUGACAAUU